GACGAACGCUGGCGGCGUGCUUAACACAUGCAAGUCGAACGGAAAGGCCCUGCUUGCAGGGUACUCGCGUGGCGAACGGGUGAGUAACACGUGGGUGAUCUGCCCUGCACUUCGGGAUAAACUUGGUAGACUGGGUCUAAUACCGGAUAGAAACCAUCUUGAGUGUAGUGGUUGGAAAGUUUUUUCGGUGUAGGAUGAGCUCGCGGCCUAUCAGCCUGUUGGUUGGGUAGUGGCCUACCAAGGCGGCGACGGGGAGCCGGCCUGAGAGGGUGUACGGCCAAAGCUGGAGCGUGCGAGCGGCAGGAAUCCGAAGGGGGGCACGAGGGGGGGAAGUUUGACAAAGGGAGGAAGCCUGAGUGAGGCACGGCGUCGGGGGGUAUAACGCCCUUGGGUUUUAAAAACACUUCCGUAUGUAACAAAGCUUGUGUGACGGUAACUAGAUCAGAAGCACCGGCCAACUACGUG
rnacentral:rRNA from 1 species